AGAGUUAGGGAAAUCUAACGAGAUGAAAACUCAAGAGAAAAAAAAAUUAAAGAGUGUCUGAAAAUAAAAAAUGAAACGUGCACCAUGCAAAGGCGAUAAUGCAGAGGAUUGAAUAUGACAUUGUCAUUUAUUGAUUGUUAAUUAUACACAUAUGCUUGCAUAUUUUUAUUCCUUCUUUGGGCAUUCAU
rnacentral:rRNA from 13 species